UNUGAAGUUAAAGGCUGUGGCUUAANCAUAGUACGCUUUGGAAACUGUUUAACUNGAGUGCAGAAGGGGAGAGUGGAAUUCCAUGUGUAGCGGUGAAAUGCGUAGAUAUAUGGAGGAACACCGGUGGCGAAAGCGGCUCUCUGGUCUGUAACUGACGCUGAGGCUCGAAAGCGUGGGGAGCGAACAGGAUUAGAUACCCUGGUAGUNCACGCCGUAAACGAUGAGUGCUAGGUGUUAGGCCCUUUCCGGGGCUUAGUGCCGCAGCUAACGCAUUAAGCACUCCGCCUGGGGAGUACGACCGCAAGGUUGAAACUCAAAGGAAUUGACGGGGGCCCGCACAAGCGGUGGAGCAUGUGGUUUAAUUCGAAGCAACGCGAAGAACCUUACCAGGUCUUGACAUCCCGAUGCCCGCUCUAGAGAUAGAGUUUUACUUCGGUACAUCGGUGACAGGUGGUGCAUGGUUGUCGUCAGCUCGUGUCGUGAGAUGUUGGGUUAAGUCCCGCAACGAGCGCAACCCUUAUUGUUAGUUGCCAUCAUUCAGUUGGGCACUCUAGCGAGACUGCCGGUAAUAAACCGGAGGAAGGUGGGGAUGACGUCAAAUCAUCAUGCCCCUUAUGACCUGGGCUACACACGUGCUACAAUGGCUGGUACAACGAGUCGCAAGUCGGUGACGGCAAGCUAAUCUCUUAAAGCCAGUCUCAGUUCGGAUUGUAGGCUGCAACUCGCCUACAUGAAGUCGGAAUCGCUAGUAAUCGCGGAUCAGCACGCCGCGGUGAAUACGUUCCCGGGCCUUGUACACACCGCCCGUCACACCACGAGAGUUUGUAACACCCGAAGUCGGUGAGGUAACCUUUUAGGAGCCAGCCG
rnacentral:rRNA from 1 species